GCCGAUGAUGAAUUUUGCACAUACUGAUUGGUGAUGAUCCUCCACGGGUCUGAGGC
rnacentral:snoRNA from 1 species